GGGGUCCUAACCUCCUACCUAGCGAAUGAGGAGUGAAAAAUGAGGGUUACAGGGGCCAGCACUGAAGAAUCGCUGCAGUAAAUACCCCGGCUGCUCCAACAAGCCAGUGCUGUUGACCUGGGUUAGUGGUCACCUGGCCCCUGCCUGAUGAAGGACGCUUGGCCUUUAGAACCACAAGAACGCAGAACACAGAGCUGGGGACAGCACUCAGCCAACCCUUUCUUGCACAGAUGAAGAAAAGAAAGCCAGGAGGUGUCCAUAUAUUUUUUGUCUUCUAAAGUUCUGAGUUGGAAAUUGAAGCGUGCAAUGAAGAAUGCAAGGUGGAAAAGACUUCGUGUGUACCUGUCAAUUCCCAACCCAGGGAGCCAUCGUUUGUAAGUAGACGGCUCACGGGGUACUGCAGAGUCUACAAAACAGCUCAAGAUCAUUCCAAACCAGUCAAGGACAUCCCUGCCACGCAGCGCACAGAUUUAUAACUCUGGCCAAAGGUUUGACAAAUACAGAUUUCUUCAAUCCAAAGUCCAGCUAUUUGUGUUCUCUGAAAGAACAGAGCAUUUCAGUCUGCUGCUCCUUAAUCCCAGGAGCCGGGGGAGCAGGCACAGGAGGAGCUUGGAGAAGGAAUUCUCAGAACUGGUGAAAGUGACGGCUUCAGAGGACAAGCUCUGGGACUGAGGUAAUCAGAAUCUUCCCAGAACUGUUCCAGGGAUCUUAGAGCAGCUCCAUGGAUCCGUCUGCAUUCUCAGUGAGCGGAAGAAAGAGUGGAUUUUCAUUAACUGUCAGUUAGAUAACAAACGAAUUCUCAAGUUUACAUGAAAGGCACAAGUCUUAGAAGAAACAGCACAAUACUGCAGAAUAACGAAGUUGGAGGACUGACACAACUGCAAGACUUACUAUAAAGCUACAGCAAUCAAGCCUGCACGGUUCUGGCAAAAGAAUAGACAAAUACAUCAAUAGAACAGAACAGAGAGCCCAGAAAUAGAUCUGUACAAAUACAGUCAACUGAUCUUUGAUAAAGGAAUAAAGGAUUCAAUGGUGAAAGGAUAAUCUAUUCAACAAAUUGUGCUGAACUGGACAACCAUAUCCAAAAAAAAAAAAAAAAAAAAA